rnacentral:rRNA from 1 species
UACGAGGGGGGCAAGCGUUGUUCGGAAUUAUUGGGCGUAAAGGGCGCGUAGGCGGUUUGACAAGUCUGAUGUGAAAUCUAUGGGCUCAACCCAUAGCCUGCAUUAGAAACUGUCGGGCUUGAGUAUGGGAGAGGUGAGUGGAAUUUACGGUGUAGCAGUGAAAUGCGUAGAGAUCGUAAGGAAGACCAGUGGCGAAGGCGAGUCUCUGGAAAGCUGCUGACGCUGAGGCACGAAGGCCAGGGGAGCAAACGGG